GACGAACGCUGGCGGCGUGCUUAACACAUGCAAGUCGAACGCUGAAGCUCAGCUUUUGUUGGGUGGAUGAGUGGCGAACGGGUGAGUAACACGUGAGUAACCUGCCCCCUUCUUUGGGAUAACGCCCGGAAACGGGUGCUAAUACUGGAUAUUCACUGGUCUUCGCAUGGGGGUUGGUGGAAAGGGUUGUUCUGGUGGGGGAUGGGCUCGCGGCCUAUCAGCUUGUUGGUGGGGUGAUGGCCUACCAAGGCUUUGACGGGUAGCCGGCCUGAGAGGGUGACCGGUCACAUUGGGACUGAGAUACGGCCCAGACUCCUACGGGAGGCAGCAGUGGGGAAUAUUGCACAAUGGGCGCAAGCCUGAUGCAGCGACGCCGCGUGAGGGAUGGAGGCCUUCGGGUUGUGAACCUCUUUCGCUCAUGGUCAAGCCGCAACAAUGGUUGUGGUGAGGGUAGUGGGUAAAGAAGCGCCGGCUAACUACGUG
rnacentral:rRNA from 1 species